rnacentral:precursor_RNA from 10 species
AACCACCACUCCACCCGGGCACCUCGUAGCAACAGUGACACCAUGUAUUGGCUCCGUGGCGAUAUAUGAUGUCGAUGUGGCCACUGGGUGCCGCUCUCUACAAUGUAUUGU